AUGUCCGCGGCGGCGCAGGCGACGGCGCCUGCCUCGUCGGACUGGACCACGGAGGAGGGGCAGUGGGUACUCCUCGUGUGCAUGCCGCACGUGGUCUCCGACACGGUGCUCCCGCCGGGCACCGAUCUCUCCGUCGAGCGCGAGCGCCCGCCUCGCCCCUUCCGCCUUACCGUGCCCCGCCGCGUCGCGCCCGACCCCAAGGACAUCUACAACCACCCGUACGUCUCGUCGGUCGGGGAUUUCGGUCGCUUCGUGCUCUACGCCACCCACGGCACGCAGGCUCAGCCGGCGCCGCCGGUCUUCGUCGACGAUUUCGACACCGGUCCGGAUGCGCGGCUCGACCACAAGGGCUUCCCCAGAGCGUUGUUCCUCUGCGACCUCAACACCCGCUCGGCCACCCGCCUCCCGGACCCCGAGCGCCCCAUCUUCCGCCCAGACCCAGGCAGGGUCGGCCUCCUCGCCACCAGUGCGACGAACUCUAUCAUCCUGCACCUAGAGCAUUUGCUCGGCACCAACCAGGCCACCCUCCUCUGCUACAUCUCCGACCACGGCCGUUGGACCGUCCAGGAUCUCUACUGCCCUCCAGGCGCACCAGGCCAGCGGGAGUGGAGGGGAGGGGACGGCGUCAUCAAGUACAUGGAUCUCAUGCUUUGGGUUGAUCUGGCAUGCGGCAUCCUCGCCCUCGACACCAACGGCCUCCUCCUGCAACGCCGGCCGGAACUGCGGUAUGUGCCGCUCCCUGAUGAAUGCCAGAGUCCAGGCAACAAUGGUCUAGCAAGAGAGCGAUGCCUUGGUGUGAGCGAAGGGGUGGUCCGAUUCCUUGAGAUCUCAAAUUAUGAGAGGAUUAGGUUGUGGACACUUGUUGAUAUGGGCACAGGGGACUGGACUCUUGAUCAUCAGCUUGACCUCGAGAACCUCUGGGACGAGGAUGGUUUCAAGGCCAUGGGCCUGCCUAAUGACUGUCCCGCUGUCGCAUUUAUCCACCCUGAGCAUGCCACCAUGGCAUACUUCUUUCAGGAGUCUCGACUAUUCCAUGUUGACAUGAGCACCGGCAAGUUUAUGGAUGUACAGUACUUCAUGAUGGACAACCCGCCGGCUGAUUACCACUCUUCCAGAUUUGUUCGCCCUUGGAAGCUUCCGCAGUCACUCUUCUCAGGGAUAGUUAAUUUGUCUAAUGGUCCAAUCCGGAGAGCAAAAGACAAUGCACCACCUGGGGGUUACCCACUGGAGGGACUUACCGGGCAGACAUUCAUAGGAUGA
rnacentral:rRNA from 1 species